GUAUAUGUAUCCUCAUACAGGGAGGGUUGCUCGUCCAGGUCAGAGGUCGUAUACGUAUAGAUUUUGCGCCGAACCUGUCAAAACUAAACAGUAUAUGUUUCUCAUCAGUGGCAUUGACCAGAUUUGUGUUGACAGUCUGCAAAUACAAAAGCCAAAGAGCGCCACUCCGAGACAAAUCAGUGUUCCACUGCCAUCAGACGCUUGUAUGGGUCUGAAGCGAAUGGCGUCCGUCACUAUUGGUCCACCCAGUCGGAACAAGGCUACUGGCUCAGUUUGAUUGAAAUACUGCAUAUUAACCAAAGAGCGCCACUCCGAGACAAAUGUAAUGGAACACCUGUCUUCCACUGUCAUCGGACCAUUGUAUGGGCCUGAAGCGAAUGGCGUCCGUCACUAUUGGUCUACCCAGUCGGAACAAGGCUACUGGCUCAGUUUGAUUGAAAUACUGCAUCAACCAAACAGAGCCACUCCGAGACAAAUCAGUGUUCCACUGCCAUCAGACGCUUGUAUGGGUCUGAAGCGAAUGGCGUCCGUCACUAUUGGUCUACCCAGUCGGAACAAGGCUACUGGCUCAGUUUGAUUGAAAU